AAUAGUGGAUGAGCUGUGAGUGCGCGCGCGUGCGCGGGGCCGCGACCUGUGCCGGCUCGAGCCCGCUGGGCACUCGGGGGCGCGCACGUCGUUCCCCGCCCUCCCGCCGCCGCCCGCCCUCGCUCUCUCGCGCUCCCCUCCCGCCGCCCGCGGUCCUCCGUCGGUUCUCUCGUUAGUCCACGGUCUGGUCUUCAGCUACCCGCCUUCGUCUCCGAGUUUGCGACUCGCGGACCGGCGUCCCCGGCGCGAAGAGGCUGGACUCGGAUUCGUUGCCUGAGCAAUGGCUGCCAUCCGGAAGAAACUGGUGAUUGUUGGUGAUGGAGCCUGUGGAAAGACAUGCUUGCUCAUAGUCUUCAGCAAGGACCAGUUCCCAGAGGUGUAUGUGCCCACAGUGUUUGAGAACUAUGUGGCAGAUAUCGAGGUGGAUGGAAAGCAGAGACAGAGUCUCCCUCUGUCACCCAGGUUGGAGUGCAAUGGCACAAUCUUGGUUUACAACAACCUCCACCUCCCAAAUUCAAGCGAUUCUCCUAUCUCAGCCU
rnacentral:sRNA from 1 species